UACGUAGGGUGCAAGCGUUAAUCGGAAUUACUGGCGUAAAGCGUGCGCAGGCGGUUGUGCAAGACAGAUGUGAAAUCCCCGGGCUUAACCUGGGAAUUGCAUUUGUGACUGCACGGCUAGAGUGUGUCAGAGGGGGGUAGAAUUCCACGUGUAGCAGUGAAAUGCGUAGAUAUGUGGAGGAAUACCGAUGGCGAAGGCAGCCCCCUGGGAUAACACUGACGCUCAUGCACGAAAGCGUGGGGAGCAAACAGG
rnacentral:rRNA from 1 species